GCGCCCUUAGUGUAGUGGAUAUCACGUAAGAUUCCGGUUCUUGAGACGGGGGGUUCGAUUCCCUCAGGGCGCG
rnacentral:tRNA from 1 species